rnacentral:rRNA from 1 species
ACUUUGGACGAGGCAGGAUGAGAUGUGGGUAGGGGUGAAAUGCCAAUCGAACGUGGAGAUAGCUGGUUCUCCCCGAAAUAGCUUUAGGGCUAGCCUCAUGGCGAGAGUACAGGCGGUAGAGCACUGAACGGGGUAGGGGCCUAUCCGGCUACUGAACCUAAUCAAACUGCGAAUGGCUGUACUUAUCCAUGGGAGUCAGACUGUGAGUAAUAAGGCCCAUAGUCAAGAGGGAAACAGCCCAGACCAACAGCUAAGGUCCCCAAUGCCGUACUAAGUGGCGAAGGAUGUGGAAUUUCGAAAACAACCAGGAUGUUGGCUCAGAAGCAGCCACCAUUAAAAGAGUGCGUAAUAGCUCACUGGUCGAGAGACUCUGCGCCGAAGAUGUCCGGGGCUAAAGUACGGAACCGAAGCUUUGGCAAUUAACAUAAGUUAAUUGGGUAGGGGAGCGUUCCUGCAUGGGAGAAGCCUGACCGGAAGGACAGGUGGACAGGCAGGAAGAGAGAAUGCCGGUAUGAGUAGCGAAAAGAAGGGUGAGAAUCCCUUCCACCGAAAGCCUAAGGGUUCCUGGGCAACGAUCGUCGUCCCAGGGUAAGUCGGGACCUAAUCCGAGGCGGAGACGCGUAGGAGAUGGACAACAGGUUGAAAUUCCUGUACUGGCUGAGGCCGUUUGAGCGAAGGAGUGACACAGGAAGGAAGGCACGCGUGCGAAUGGAAGAGCACGUCCAAGCAGGUAGGUCGGGAGACAGGCAAAUCCGUUUCCCAUAAGGCCGAGAUGCGAUGGGGAGCUUCUGGAGACAGAAGCGAAGGGGCUGGCACUAAACUGUCGAGAAAAGCUUCUAGUGAGGACUCAGGCACCCGUACCGAAACCGACACAGGUAGGCAGGAUGAGAAUUCUAAGGUGCGCGGGAAAACCCUCGUUAAGGAACUCGGCAAAAUAUAUCCGUAACUUCGGGAAAAGGAUAACCCAGCGUACGUGAAGUGCAGAAGCGCAUGGAGCGGAGAUGGGUGGCAGAAGAGAGGCCCAAGCGACUGUUUACCACAAACACAGGCGUCUGCUAAAGCGAAAGCUGAUGUAUAGAUGCUGACACCUGCCCGGUGCUGGAAGGUUAAGAGGAAGUGUUAGCGCAAGCGAAGCAGUGAAUUGAAGCCCCAGUAAACGGCGGCCGUAACUAUAACGGUCCUAAGGUAGCGAAAUUCCUUGUCGGGUAAGUUCCGACCCGCACGAAAGGUGUAACGAUUUGGGCACUGUCUCAACGAGGGACCCGGUGAAAUUGAAGUACCUGUGAAGAUGCAGGUUACCCGCGACUGGACAGAAAGACCCCAUGGAGCUUUACUGUAACCUGAGAUUGGAUUCCGGUAAGAGAUGUACAGGAUAGUUGGGAGGCUGAGAAGUGAGUACGCCAGUAUUCAUGGAGCCGCUGGUGGGAUACCAACCUUGUUUUAUUGGAAUUCUAACGAGAAGCGUAACGAGCUUGCGGACAGUCUCAGGCGGGCAGUUUGACUGGGGCGGUCGCCUCCGAAAGAGUAACGGAGGCGCCCAAAGGUUCCCUCAGCGCGGACGGAAACCGCGCGAAGAGUGCAAAGGCAGAAGGGAGCUUGACUGCGAGACGGACAGGUCGAGCAGGGACGAAAGUCGGGCUUAGUGAUCCGGUGGUAGAGAGUGGAAUUGCCAUCGCUCAACGGAUAAAAGCUACCCUGGGGAUAACAGGCUUAUCUCUCCCAAGAGUCCAUAUCGACGGGGAGGUUUGGCACCUCGAUGUCGGCUCAUCACAUCCUGGGGCUGAAGUAGGUCCCAAGGGUUGGGCUGUUCGCCCAUUAAAGUGGUACGCGAGCUGGGUUCAGAACGUCGUGAGACAGUUCGGUCCCUAUCCAUCGCGGGCGUAAGAAACUUGAAAGGGGCUGCUCCUAGUACGAGAGGACCGGAGUGGACCGACCAAUGGUGUACCAGUCAUGGCGCCAGCCGUGCAGCUGGGUAGCUACGUCGGGGACGGAUAAACGCUGAAAGCAUCUAAGCGUGAAACCAGCCUAGAGAUGAGGUUUCUCAUUGU